GUAUACAGUCAUACCACCCUGAAAGUGCCCGAUCUCAUCUGUUCUCAGAAGCUAAGCAGGGUCGGGCCUGAUUAGUACUUGGAUGGGAAGAAAUGCACAGAGGAAAAGAGGAGGAGGAGGCAUUGUGAUCA
rfam:Camelus ferus unplaced genomic scaffold scaffold56579, whole genome shotgun sequence.